rnacentral:lncRNA from 1 species
UUUUUUUUUAUUCCUGUGUUGAUGUUCAUUUCUUUCCGGGUUGACUUUGAGUGCGUAUUUCCUUAGUAAAAUUGCCACCCCUUGUGUGGAUCGAGUAUUUCAGUUUUGUCCUGAUUUACCCUUUUCCACUGCAGAUUUUCCCCUUUAUCCCCGACUAAGGCUUUCCAUUGAUUUAUUUUCAUGGAAUCCCUCGUGUCCCCCAACAGUUUUAAAUCAUAGCAUGGCCUACACACAACUUUU